rfam:Populus trichocarpa isolate Nisqually-1 chromosome 9, whole genome shotgun sequence.
GGGGUUAUAGCUCAGAAGAUUAGAGCAUGUGGUUACGAACCACGAUGUCGGGGGUUCGAAUCCAUCCUUGCCCA